UUGCGUGGUUUCUUGGAAUAAUGCACGUCACAGGACAGAGCCAAUCAGUGCACGACACGACUGAGUAAGUUUCACUACUUGAUCGGAUGUUAAACAAUAAUAUUUCAGUCGGACAUUGUCAAGGCAGAGGAAAUUCCCUCUAGAGCUUUGUAGUCUUUGUUCUACAGCUUGUGACUUUUUUUUGUUGUUACAAGAUUGAAGGUUUAAAAUAAUUUGGAUGAAAAGGUCAUUGUUGAAAUACUUUGAAAAUGUUGGUGCUGCCAUUUUCAAGGAUAUUCCCGGAAGACCUUCCUCAUGCUACAAAGGCACAGCUGAUGCUGAAGAAUGUUUAUAAACAAAAUAAAUGUUUCGUUCAACAAAGAGAUGUCAUCUUCAGCAAACUUGUGUCACUUCCAUGUAAACGCAGAAAACAUAAAGGGCUUAAAAUAUUCCGACACAAUGUACACGACCAAACCAAAAUAAAAACAAACCAACAGAAGACCGGCAUAAGAAAGCAUAUCACACUUCAAACUUUUCAUGAUGACGAAUCAUGGUUCACUGCAAGUUCGGUUAAUGAAACAAGCUCUACGAAGAUACAUAUAUUUCUUCAUUUGCUGGAUAGUAAAGUCAUUGUAUUGGAAGUAGACCUCAAUGACACGCUGGAACAAUUUGUUAACAUUGCCAAAGAAAGGUGUGGGAUCAUUCCAAGAAAAGCAAGGUUCUACUACAGAGGACGAAAACUGAAUUGGAGUGAAACACUGAAAAAUCAAUUUGUUUGCAAAGAUGCCAACAUAGCUAUGCAUCUCCCAAUUUUUGGAGGAGGUGAUACAGAACCGACAAUGCCUGUGAAGCUGGCACCUCAACAAGGUGAUACAAAACCCACAAAUCCUCUGGAAUUGGUAUCCCGGCAAGGUGAUACAAAACCAACAAAUCCUCUGGAAUUGGCAUCCCAGCAAGGUGAUACAAAUCCAACAAAUCCUCUGGAAUUAGCAUCCGAGCAAGGCGAUACAAAACCAACAAAUCCUCGGGAAUUGGCAUCCCAGCAAAGUGAUACAAAACCAACAACUCCUGUGGGACCGGCAUCCCAGCAAGGUAAGAGUUUUCCUACGAAAGAAGAAUUAUGUAUCUGGUCAAGCGAAGAGCUGAAAAAAUGGAUGGAAAGCAUGAAUGUAAAUGAAUCCAUUAUUAAUUUUUUAUACAAACAAGAUAUUGAUGGAGAAACAUUUAUUUCUCUUGAGAAAAAUGAGUUGCGCGAUUUUGGUCUAAGUUUAGGGAAUGCUAAAAAAGUUGUCAAAUUAAUCAAGGAAAUUACUGAACGAAGUAAACACAAAACUGAAAAUAUAGAUAGUAGUCUUUAUACCAAACAUAGCCCACAAUCAGUUUUCAUGAAAAAUAAGGAAACCAUUGGGCAACUUGAAACACGUGGGGAAGACACAAAUGAUGAACAACAAAAAAAGUUAUCUGAUGCAGAAUUGAAAAAUGAUAAAAUGAACAAACUGGAUGAAAACACCAAUACCAAUGUGCAAAAAGGCCCUGGAACAUGUGUCGAUGGCUCCAAAGAACAUGAGGAUAAUUUUUGUUGUACACAUCAAGUAAGUAAUUCAGCAAUGUCCAAUGAUAGCAACAUACAGCAAAACGAGUCUCAAAAUCAAAGCUGCUGUUCUGAACAUCAAGGCAGUUCUCAACAUCAAGGCACUUCUCAACAUCAAGGCACUUCUCAACAUCAAGGCACUUCUCAACAUCAAGUCAGUUCUCAACAUGGCACUUCUCGACAUCAAGGCACUUAUCAACAUCAAGUCAGUUCUCAACAUGGCACUUCUCAACAUCAAGGCACUUCUCAACAUCAAGUCAGUUCUCAACAUGGCACUUCUCAACAUCAAGACACUUCCCAACAUCAAGUCAGUUCUCAAUAUGGCACUUCUCAACAUCAAGGCACUUCUCAACAUCAAGUCAGUUCUCAACAUGGCACUUCUCAACAUCAAGACACUUCCCAACAUCAUGGCAGUUCUCAACAUCAAGGCACGUCUCAACAUCAAGGCAGUUCUCAAACCUCUGCUAUCCCAAAUCCUUCGAUAGUGUAUUUUAUAAUAUGCAUAUGCUAUGAACCACGUGAGGUUUCACGUGUCACGAUUGCACUUUCUAAUGGACAAUCAAUACAAGCUGAGAGGUCAAAUAAAUAUAUUUGGCACUACAAAGGAGAAGUUCCAAGUAAUGUUAAAUGGCAAGUAAGAUUAAAUUAUGAAGAGCACGGCGUUGAAAUGAAAACACUGGAACAAAAGAAUGUAUCCAUUCAUGGAAGACAUCGACAUAUUUUUGGAUAUUUACAUUUGUUUCAAUUUAUGUUGUCAUCUGAUGAUACAACUAUGCAAGACAUGGACAAACUUAUCAACAUGUUGUGCCCUGUCCCAGAACAUGCUUUCAAAGAACCAUGUGAUUUUGGAAUCUGGUUAAAUAAAUAUUUAGCAGCAAAUGAUUCAGAUAAAAAUAAAAUGUUUGUGGCCAUUAUUCUAGGCUACCUAUUGCAAUAUAAAGACAAGUAUUCUAAUUGUAUCCUGUCAGUUUUAAAAGAACAUGCAAAAUGUAUAUACAGUGCAAUAAAAAACUACACAUACGUAUCUAUAUCACACAAAAUGCAACAAAGUAUUAGACAUGUAUUGAAAUAUAUUCUAAAACAUCAUAUUCAUGGUGGCUGGAUAGAAUAUGUGCAGGCCGCAGUCCAUAUCUUAAAAAUAACUGACAUAAUACAAGACGUAUGUUAUUUUGAUGAGGGAAAUGAAAGUGAUUUUAAAUAUUUGAAAUCAACAAUUACAAAAAUUUCUGAAUAUGUGCGUGAUGACAGCAAAAAAAAUAUAGCUAAUGCUUUAUUGUGUUAUGUGAACCAGCCAUCAUAUAUUAUAGAUGCAUACGUAUUAUGCAAUAGACAUUUGGUAACUAUAGAACCAAAAUAUACACAUAUAUUGCUUGCUAAGACUAUUAAACAAUUAAAAACAAUUGAAAUUGAUUCUGAAACAAUAUUGCACUUUAUCAUGUGCAUAAGCAAUGAAAUUGAUCGAACUUGUAUAGCAGAUGCAUACAUGCAUUAUGUUAUAAAAACGAAUAUAGAAGAGUUGGAUAGCACAUGGUAUAAAAUUUUGUUGCAUUGUUCAAUUGAUGCAAUAGUUAUAUUUUUUUAUUGGUUCAGUACAAAUGCAAAGGAUAUUUCACCUCUGACUUUAGUUGUAGAAGUAGUGAAAAUCAAGAAUUUUUUUGAAUUAAGUCAUAACAAUGCCAAACGUUUAUCUAAUAGCAUAUGCAUCAUGCUGAAGAAUAUUGAAAAACUUGACAAAAAACACAUCAUAAUUGUUUUGAAGCAUACAUCAGAACUGUUAAUACGUUUUAAAAAGUUUCCAAGCUUAGUUAAGGAAAUAGAAAAUGCACGAGACAAACGAAUCAAAUUACUGUCGGCCGAAGAUGUAAAUGCUAUUUUUGAAGAUUCUGUAAACUUGAAUGAAGAAGAUUUAAAAUUACUAUUUCAAAUUUUAAAGUUGUUUUCUCAAAGUGAAUCUUCAUGGACAAGCACACUGAUACGUAUAUUGCUUUUGAAACCAAAAGUGGACCAUACACCGCAAGUGCUACACAAAAAAUAUGAAGAUUUGAUUUGUCAAAUGCUUGAUAAUGAAGAAAAAAAAAUUAAGGACAUUGAUCUAUCUGAUAAUUUCAACACUGAAGAUCUUGCCUAUAUUGCAAAUAAAGUUGAUUCAUUUCAACAAAUAAUCACAGCUACUCAAAAUAUAAUAUCAAUAAGCAGUCACAAGAUGGUUAUUUACAUUAAAAGACUUACUACACUAUUUUUAAAUGCAAUGCAGGAAAAAAACAUAUCACUGAAACAAUAUUCUGAAAUUAAGCAACAAAUCCAAUUAGAAACGCUAUACAAAAUGUACAGUAUGACAACAUUUACACAAUACAACAAUAUACAAUUCAUGUUUGAAGAUAUUGAUAAAGUACUUUUGGAUUUUAGGAUAUUGGGGACUGUUUUAAACAAAUUUGUGACAGUAAUAUUAGAAAAAGUAUCUAAUAUGGGGAAUUAUAAAUUGACAGAUGGAUUGCAGACAUAUCAGAACUACUUCCAAAAAGCAUGUUCUACAGACACUUUGAUCAAAAAUAUUCUUCAAGAGUUUGUGACUCCAUUGCACAAUAUUCAAGAAGUGGCCAAUGAGGUUUACAAGCACGGAUUCAUUGAUGAAAAUAUCAUUUCGGAUAUAUACAUUAAUUGUUGCAUAAUAGCACUUAAAAAAACUAAAAAGCAAGAGGAGGAAAUCACGUGUCAAGAAUUAGUUACAUUUUGUGCCAAAGAGGGCAUUGCAUAUUUUAAUUCUCGUAUGCAUACAUUAUUCAAUACCCUCAGUGCCAUCCCAUUGAGUGAAUUGAAAGAAAUAUGUGAAAAUAUCAGCGCAGAAAAUCUUCAUAUUGAGAUAGGUGUUCUAAAAUCUAGACAAAAUGAAUGUGUUGAAAAUGUUGAUGAAUUGAUACAAUUAUUCUUAAGUCUGGAUGAAUGGGAAUCAAAACUUCUAAAUUUUAAAGCUAUUUUCGAGAUCUUUACAAUUAAUGACAAUGUGUCAUCUGAAUAUAUAAGUAGAUGUAACAGUGCCUUAAUCCUAAUUUCCAUGUGCAAGAAAGUUGAGGGAACUUUAGAGACACUUCAGGAGUGCAGAGAAAGAGCAUUAAUAGCAUACACUCCAAUAAAAGAUAUAGAUGAUUCUAUAUUAUCAUGUUUAGCCAAAUCAAAGGAGCUGAUUGUCUUUUUGAAAAAUGUCCAAGGUGACGACUUAACAAAUUUAAUUGAUGCUGUAGAAGAACACUCGGAGCAGUUCAUAAAUGAAUCAACCGUUUCUAAUUUAAUCGAAGUCAAUAAAUACGUCAAGCCAUUGUUUAAUUGCAAAGACACUGAUGUUUUUUUCUCAAAUUUAAACAAUUCCUGCAAAAAAAGUUUUGCUCAAAAACUCGAUGAUUGCAGAUCACAUGUGCAUAAUCUAAAGUCUUUAUAUUUAAAUGUUUCUAACAGAGAAGAAAUGACGAAACAAGUAAUAAAAAAAGUUUUAGCAUCUGGAAGAUAUGUUUUUAAAAUGGAGGCAUCACGCUGUAAAGUGUUUGUUUACUUAAAAGAUCAAAAUACAAUAUACAAGACUUUACCCGAAAUGAAUGAUAUACGAAGUCGGGCCUUACUAAUUAGCUCAAAUAGGAAAAAUGAAACUACCAAUGUCAAUGAAUAUUUACUAACGAGCAUAACUAUUACAGAAUUAGAGACUAUAAUAGAGGUGGUUGAUAAACUAAAUAAUGUGUCCAAUUUAUAUGCAGAACUUCACAAAGCUGGGCAUUAUAACUACAUUACAUUUGACAAGGAAACCAAAGAUCUCUUACAACUCAAUAACUUCAUUAUGGAAGCAAAUAGUGAGAAGGAGCAUUGGUUAGGUGCAAUAUUGAAAGCGAGAGAAGAGUUUUACUUUCUAAAUUAUUUUUUUUCAGAUCAGCUGUGGUGUCUUUAUGAGUUUUUUUGUGAAGGAAAAAUUACAUCUGACUUUAUUAACAUUGCAAGAUAUAUAAAUCCUUCUGAGAAUAUAAUCAAACAACCUCCCUUGAAACGAAUACAUUUUAGUAACAAAACUGCAAUUGAAUACCUGUGUGAAAUUGGGACAUAUAUUGAUAUGGAAUUUAAUUCUCAGAAUAUGGAAACACGGCCAAUACCAAUUAUAGAUGAAUGUGUUGAGAAUACAGUUCAAUCUGGGAAAAUAUAUUUUGCAGUUUUACCUAAAACUGGAAGUCGAGUAAUACACACGUUAAUGGCAUUAUUUAUGAGUACAACGAAAAGUUACCCAUAUUCUCAUCAAGUGUUAUUUUGCCAUCAUAAAACUUCAUUGGAUGAGAUCACUAUUUUUAUUCAAAGAUGCACAUUGCAUUCUCGAGUAAAAAAAAAACAAAAGUUGUUUUGCCUGGCAAAUGUUGAACUGUUGCGAACAGAAAUACAAUUUGAACUUGUAAAGAAGCUAGUAAUGCUUCAGAGCAGUACUAACACCACAUUUUUGCUUGCAAUUAUUUGUCGAGGUGAAAACCAUCCAAUUACAGCAAAAUUUGCUUCAUAUUGCCACAAAACACAAGGAAUUACAAAUACCGUUUUGCAAGAUUGUUUCAGAACCUCAUUUCAUAAUGUUGAAGUUGUAACAUCUGAUAUAUCUGGGUUAGGAAAAACUGAGUAUAUACAUCAGAAAGCAAGCCUUCAAAUGAAAAAUGUCAUUAGCAUCCCGUUUGGUGGCCCUUUCACUCGAGAAACAUUUGUUUGUCGUUUAACAGACAUGAAGUUAACUAAGCAUAGCAUAAUGCAUAUUAUUAUAUCAGAAAUUGACGACUAUAACCUUUUUGAUACAUUGAUGUUUGAAUUUAUAGUUUUGGGUUGUGUUAUGUCUGGAACAAAAAUGGUUUGUCAAGAAAACUUAUUGAAGUGUCAAGACGUUGCCAUUUUUGUAGAAAUCUCCAAUAGUUUCAAUGAGAAGGUGAAAAAUUCUUUGAAUAUUUUAACUAGCUUCAAACGCACACAUUUGAAAUGGAAAAAUUAUGAAGAUUUCAUAAUUGGAAGAGAUUUACAAUGUCAAGUUCAAAUAGUGUGCCAUUUUCUUAAAGCCUACAAAGAAAACGUUAUUGACCAGUCAGAUAUAAUUUUUUGUCAUAGGACAAAAUUGAAACCAUUGGAUGAUAAAGAAUGUCGUCAACUGUUACGUGAAUAUUUUUCAAGUACAUCAGACAUCUCAUUCACGAGAGUAGAUAUUUUUUUACGGGUCUUAUCAGACCAACUUAAAAAGCUGUCGGUUAGCCAUUAUUUUCGAGUGAAAUCUCUAAAAGAUAUGCUUGGGAAACAAUGUGCUGUUCGGUCACAAAUGUUAAAAAAUGUUCUUAGAUGUUUCUGCUGAGUUUGCUUCAAGAGCUAUACGGACAACUUGUGCGCCUCUAGAUCAGUGUAAAAAUGAUGAAUAUGUAAGUAAUAAUAGUGACGAAUUAAUUCAAGGAAAUAUCGACAGAGUGCAUUGUAUGAUUCAGUGGGAGGACAGUAAUCACUUUCUAGUUUUGUUUCACAGCCUAGAUGUUCAAACAGUGUCUUCCUUAUACCGAAACCUGGAUGAUGUUGACAAAGGCAUUAAACAAUUAUUUGAAUCACAAAUAGGACAAAGUCUGAAGGACUUUAAACAAAUUAAUUGUGAAGAAUUGCACAGAAUGUUAGAAAAAAUAUCAAUUACACAACUUACAAAAUACAAUGAUUGUUAUCCAGAGUUAUCAAAAUCGUAUGCAUUAGCACCAGAUAACCUGUUAAAAAUGGCUUUAAUUGUACUGCGCAUUAGAGUGAAUGUACCAGUUAUUAUCAUGGGAGAAACAGGCUGUGGAAAAACCAGUUUAAUCAGAUAUUUAUCAAGAGUUUGUAAUACAACAUUAAUUAUUUUUAGUCUGCAUGCUGGUAUAACAGAACAGGAUAUAGUGGACUUUGUUAAAGAACAUACUGAUAAUGUUAGCACAUCAAAAAACAUUUGGAUUUUUAUGGAUGAAAUAAAUACUUGUGAUCAUUUGUGGUUAAUAAAUGACAUUAUUAUCAACAGAGUUUUAUUAGGAAAGCCUUUACCUAUCAAUAUUUCAUUUCUUGCUGCAUGCAACCCAUACCAACUGAAAUCACCAAAAAAAGUAUUAACAGCUGGACUACCGGGGAAAGCUAAGGAAGAUGAACUUUCUAAACUUGUUUAUAGAGUCAAUCCACUUCCUGAGACAAUGAAUGACUUUGUUUGGGAUUAUGGUGCACUCAGUGAAAAAGAUGAAAUUCUUUAUGUGAGCCGAAUGGUUAAUAGAAUGGAAUCGGAAGAACUUUUGACUACGCUCCUUAUAACUUCACAAAACUUUAUUCGAGAAGUUGAAAAUGUUAAAUCUUCUGUAAGCUUGCGUGAUGUAGACCGUUGUUUAAAACUAAUUAAAUGGUUUCAAUGUAUGUUAUGUACAAAAGGUUAUGCAGAAAAUAAUGCGUGUUUAGAUGACAAUGUAAAACGUAUUGCCAAUAUUAUUCUUGGAUUAGCUCAUUGCUAUCACUCAAGACUGGCUACUGCAGAGGAAAGAAAAAGGUAUAGAGCAAAAUUGACAGAAAUACUAAUUAAAUAUAAGUAUAAUGUAACAGAACACAGUGUACGCAACAUAAUCCACGCUGAACAAAUUGAUAUCAUCAAUCGCAUGAAACUUUCAAAAAAUGUGGUGAAAAAUGUGGCAUUGUGUGAAAACGUUUUUGUGAUAAUGGUAUGCAUUCUAAAUUGCAUUCCUGUUUUUCUGGUGGGAAAGCCAGGCAGCAGCAAAUCUCUUUCUCUUCAAAUUAUUCGCAGUAAUCUCCGUGGCCUAGAUUCUGGUGAUGAAUAUUUUCGAAAACUCCCACAAUUAUAUGUAGUGUCCUACCAGGGAUCUGAAUCUUCUACAUCACAGGGUAUUCAAAAAGUGUUUGAUAAAGCCAGCAAGUAUGUAUCUGUAAACAAAGAAAACAACAUUCGUGCAGUUGUGUUGCUCGACGAAGUUGGAUUGGCUGAGAUUUCAAAAAUGAAUCCACUCAAGGUGUUACACAAGUUACUAGAACCACCAGAUGGCAGUAAAUUGGACAUUGCAGUAGUUGGAGUAUCCAACUGGGCAUUGGAUGCUGCCAAAAUGAACCGUGCCAUUCAUCUUUCAAGACCAGACCCAGAUCUUGACGAUUUGAGGACAACUGCACUUAAUAUAUGUGAUUUUAAAAAUAAUGACCAUAAACAUGUUAUACGCACAAUAGCGGAAAUAUAUUAUGAUCUCCAAUUAAACCAAAAAAUUUCCCACUUCUAUGGACUUAGGGACUUUUACCAUCUUUUGAAGUUAUUAAGCAACUCAAACAAUAAUCAACUCACGCAAAAAAUAUUAAUUAACAAAGCUAUAUAUGCAUGUCAAAGAAAUUUGAGUGGACGUUAUGAAACGGUAAAUGGAAUCCUAUCAAAAUUACAAUGUAUUUUUAGCAAACAAAACUUAGACUUCAAUACAGGUAUUAUAAAACUCAUUGUUGACAAUCUCAGUGAUACAAACGCUAGACAUUUAAUGUUAAUCUCAAGUGGCAGUGUUGCUUGCACAAUAUUAGAGAAUAUAUGUAGCAAUUCACUGAAGCAAAAAGAAAUUGUUAUGAUAUUUGGAAGUAAAUUUGAAGAAGAUAAAACAGAAGAUUACAUUUACAGAACACUUAGUAGAAUAAUGCUCUGUAUGGAAAGAGACUGCAUCUUAAUAUUGAAGGAUUUGGAGUAUAUAUAUGGGAGUUUGUAUGACAUGCUGAAUCAAAACUAUAUUAUGGUUGGAAAUAAGCAACAUUGCAGAAUUGCAUUGGGCCCUUAUAGCAAUCCAAUGUGUCAUGUUCAUGAAAAGUUUCGCUGUGUGGUCUUAGUAGAUGAAUGUGAUCUCGAUCACACAGAUCCACCAUUUCUCAAUAGGUUUGAAAAACAACGGCUAUGGUUUAGUGAUAUUAUAGAUGAAUCCCAGAAAAAAAUCAUCUCGGAUAUAAACACAUGGGUUAAGGACAUAACAGAAAUUCCUGGAAAUCUUAAUUUUACACCACAGGAUGUUUUCAUUGGGUUUUGUGCAGACACAAUACCAUCUCUCGUAUUGUUUUGUGAGUCAUUGCAACCAAAAUGUACCACUGAAAAUUCUACAAAACGGCGAGAAUACAUUUCCAGCAUUUGCAAAGAGACAUUAUUAAAUACUGCCACCCCAGAAGGUGUUCUUCGAAUGUCUCUUUCUGUUUUGGCAAAGGAAUCUUCAGACGUGAAUGAUAUACAACAGCUUUACUAUCAAAAACCUAUACACAGUGGCCUUAAUCAUUUUCUUAAAAGCUUGGAAAAUACAUCUUUAGGAAUUACAAGCACGCAGCACAUUGUAUAUACUUAUAGUGAUAUAUACACCACUGUGGAACAAUUUCCGGAACAAUUUGGGAGCUGUGAUUCUGAAAAUUUAGGCACUUUUAAAUCUGAAAAGGACUUAACAAGCUGGAUUACAUCAUUUUGGGAAAAUUAUAACAAAAAAUACCUCAUAUUACACUGUAAAUUGCAGUAUGAUAAAGAAAUAAUAUAUUUAGCUAAAUAUAUUUUGGAUAAUGUGAAAAAAACUUUUACUUUACAUCAAAAUGCUAAGAAAUAUGAAAACAAACACAUGGUGUUUGUAAUUCACUUGCCUCAUAACACUGAAAAGUUUUUUUCAAAUUCACAACUGAAUUUUUUAUGUGGAUGGAAUCAGGUUAUGAUAGAUAGCCUUCUCCGACCUUUGUUCUCGCUUACUGAAUUGAUGAAUAUGGAGCCAAGCGACAUAAUUAACAAUGGACAAUUUCCAAUUGAUAAAAUAAUCAAAGACCAAUUACUCACAUGUUUCACAUCAAUUCGAUACACUAACAAGAGAGUUUCAACUAGCGAAUGGCUUUUUCCUUUGUUAGAAAAAAUCUAUACUUCAGAAAAAAUGUUACAAUUUUUUCACAAGUUCAUUUUAGAAAAUAUAACCAACCACAUCGAUCAAAUUCAAACUGAUCAUAAUAAAUCCCCAGGAUGGCUACUUGAUAUUGUAUGUAAUCGACAACUUCUUAUUACAUCAUCUACUUUAUACUCGGCCAUCUUAACUAAAUUAAGUGAAUACAUAUUGCAAACUUUAGGAAAAGCUGUCUACCUUUUAGAAAAGGAAUGUGCUUGGAAUAGUUUUUUUGUCAAUGAAAAUGACUCUGCUCUUAUUUAUUUCUGGAGUGCUAUUUUUAAUGCAAUAUACUCACAGGAACAUGAGUAUAUACCUGUAAUUACUGGUCCAGAAUCAUGUGAGCUUAUUCAUCAUAGUUUGGAACUAAACUUUCCAUUUAGCAUUCAUUUUAUUUCUCGUUUGCAAAAAUUUCAAAGUUUUGUAACUGAUGACCUUAGAAAACAACAUCUGGAUUACACUUGUGAAGCAAAAGACAAACAAAUUAAUGCACUUUUGGACCGCUAUACAGAACAAUUAUGGCAAGCAAUCAUAGAAGUAUCUCAAGAAUUAAGAACUUUAAGUACACAUUUUGAAAAAUUUUUGGAAGACAUUUGCAUGUAUUUUACAUGGAAAUUUUCGGUGAAUUUAACAAAAGAGGAGAUACUUAGCUAUUUGAUUCCUUCAAUAAAUGCAAAAAUGCAAGUGUUUUCACGUUCAAGUGCAGAAAAGCACCGCCUAACAUUAGUUUGCAUAUGUUUGUGGCUAUAUAGUGAUGCAUUUGCUGCACAGCUGAGCGUUAUAGCAACAUGCAAGGAGGCUAAUAUUUUUUAUUUAGAGGAACUGAAGCACAGCAAACUAAUUGAAGACUUUAUAUUUCAUGUAAAAGAACAAUCAUCAACAAGUAGUACCCACGUAGAUGCAAUUACAAAGCAAGAAGAACUUGUUGAGGAAUAUAUAGUUGAAAGUCAAAUAGUCACCGCUAUUUGCAAUAGGCUAUUACCGACUCAAACUAAUUUAGAAAUGUUUGGUAAACGUGGUACUGAAUGGUCAAAAAUUGCCUAUCAGGUGAUGUUGCUCCAAAACGAAAUUCCAAUCAACAUUUAUAUUUUAGAAGUGUUGAAAGUGUGCCUAGAUUUUGUAGAUUGUGCUCUGACAGGAACAAGCCUGAAUCAUCAGACAUUUUCCAAAUGGCUGUUUGAACUUUCCGAAUUGGCAGAAUAUACAGAUUUUCAGCUGGGAAUAGCGGAAUUACUGUCAAAAAUAGAUUCAUUUGUUCAUAGGUUAAAUGAGACUUCACAGCUACCUACUGAAAAUUUGCAGCGAUUUUUAUGUUUGUGUUUUGGACGCUGCCUAGAUAUAAGCAAUAGUAUCAAUAUCCAUGUCAACAUUUUAAAACUUAUAUGUAGAACUUCAUGGCUUUCUGAGAAAUUCUUAGGACCAGUAAUUUACCGAUUGAUAUAUGACAAUGAAGAUUAUAACAUCACAUCACUUGACUUAGAACAAAAUGAAGUUGUUAAAGAAUUUAAUGAUGCGCUAAAAAAAUGUGAGAUCAGUUCAAAUGUUGCAAUUAUCUUAUGUGAUACAAUAGAAAUGUUGAUAUUUAAUUCGACAUACAAACAAUUAACAGAAAUUGCUUCAUCUAAGGAGCCUCUUUAUGUAAAUGUUUUAAAAGCACUGACAAAUAUAGACACUAAAUGUCCUACGCUACAUUUUUUUACUUCUGUGGCAUUGUUGAGAUCAGUUCUUAAAGCCUUUGCAAUAUUGCUAAAAGAACAUUACGAAAAAUCAAAUACAAUAUCGAACAUUUUGCAAAAUUUACUAAGUGAACUAUUGUCCAUUAACAAAAAAUGUGAAGAACAUAUAGGUAUAAAAUCCCCUUUGCUGUUUAAUUUUUUACAAAUAUUGGGAUCAACACUUUCACUUUACAAAAUUAAACCUAUGUGCAAAAACUUGACUCCAUUCCAUGGUUUGGAAUGGUCAAAUGUUAAAAGUAUGUCCAAACUUGGAUAUAAGCCAAUUAAUUAUGCACUGCAAUAUAAAGACCUCGAGAACAUAUUUUCUACAUCAUUAAAUCCAAAAGAAAAAGAUAAACGGAUACAAUCAUUCAUAGGUAAGUCAAAACAAAACAGAGAUUAUAAAUUUUCUCUUCUGGCGUAUAUUGUUGAAAACUUCGCUUUUCCUCUAUCUCUCAGAAGUUUAGAUGACACUGAAAGAAAUGAUCUUAACAUGAUAACUGAGUAUUUUAUUGAAGAGGUAAGCACCAAUAAAGGAUAUUGUGAGAGCCCAUAUAUAACGUGUUUGAAAUGGCUGGCUGGAAAAAAUAAGCUUUUUGAGAAUUUACAGAUUAAUGAGGAAAAAGAAGAGCUUUGUAUUUUAAAAAAUAGCGUAAUUUUACAUCUUCUAACAAUAAUAACGUCAUAUAGUUCCAAUGACCCAAUGAACAAAUCACUGUUUGAAUGCUAUCUAACUCAACCGGAAAAAAUUAAACGCAGUUUUAUGCUUGGGGGAAUUUCCCUUCAAGAAAGUAAUUCUGACACCAAUGAAGAAAUGGCUAAUACUGCAAAAUGCUUUUGUCCCUGUGGAAUACUUGUGAUUAUGGAAAAAAAAACACGUAAAUGAAAAAGGUGAUAAUUGCCCCAUGUGCAAGACCACAUUGGAAGAUAUUUUAGACUCAAACAAGCAAGAUGUUGCUGUUGAUGAGCCCAAAAUGAGCCCAUUUUUCACUGUAAGUGGAUUGUCAAUAGUUAGCUUUAGAGUGCUGCAGGUUAUUGUGUAUGCUCUCCUAAUAUGCAGCGACAAUUUCCAGUCCAAUGAGGGUAUCGCAGAAAGGAUAAAGAAAUGGAAAGUACAAUUUGAUGCUUCUUGGAAUAUUCUGAAGUAUUUAUGCCUCGGAUUAGAUAGGAAUGUAUGUAAAUUACUGCAUUCAGUUAUCAAGAACAGCAAAUUAUUUCUCAGUACGGAAUACCCUUUUAACAAUCAAAUUGAACGCUACACAUUUCCAGGACAUGAACUGGAAAAAUCUUUUGAUGAGAUAGUCCAGAAAGUAGUUGAGAAUUUGGGAUUUGUUUUUUAUGAAGAGCAUUCACUUUUUUCUAUUUGUAAUAAUGAAGAGUCAAUCGAAUCACAAAUGCAUACAGCUUUCACUUUGCUAAAUAAAACAAAUAAACAAUCACAAGCAAACCUAUUAAGAGCUAGUAGUUUACCAUCUGUUGAUUCGUUGGUGUCUUCACUUACAAUGAAGAUAGCCUCAAAAAAUAUUCAGCAUCAAUUUCUUCUCCUUGUGUGCAAGUAUAGGAGACGUCUUGAAUGUUUAAAACAUCUGUUUCCAAUUCUUAGCUGGACUAAUAUGUUAAAAGAUAACAUUAAUUACAAAAUAUCCAAGCUUGAUUCAGAUAAAUACAGCAUAUCACUAAUAUUUGAAGGAAAUUAUUUUAAAGUGGAUGAACAUACCAAAAUGACAUAUGAUAUGUUUCAGGAAGCAUGGAAUACUUUGAGGGCAAAUGAAGAGUUUAAAGAUUUAAAUCUUGUUUUGAUGACUAAAGAAAAUAAAAUAUCUUCCUGUUUGUUUAAUUGCUCUUCAGAAUUGGAAAUGUUGGUACAAAAACUAAUGUCCUUCCAAAAUAGUUUCCUAAUGGAAGUACUAAACAUUUCCCUAACAUCUACCUGUUUUGCAAUACAUAUGCUAAAGAAAAAUGAAUUCACAAGUGCAAUAUCCUACACCACAAUUUUUCAGGCAAAAAAACAUGAAAUUAUCGAUUUUAAAUGGGACAAUGAUAUACUGAAACAUUCUGAAUGCAGCACGAAACUUGGAUAUGGCAAUUUAGUGUUUUAUGAUUUUUCCACAAUUGAAAUAGAGUUAUCAAAAAAGUUGAUCCUAGGAAAAUCGUUUCUACAAGUUGGAAAUGAUUAUUCCAUCAAUUUUUUGGAAGAAGUAUUAUUAUGCAACUAUUAUUUGUUAGACGAAAUAAGGCAAAAAAUUAAACAACUUCCAAUUCCAAAAGGAUAUACAGAUAUCAUUAAAGAGAAAUCAAAUACAAGUAUAGACACAAUUAAACAACUGCAUAAUGUAAUUGAAAUUCUGCUUUCAUUACUUAAAAGAACAGAGGGCAAUUCACUCCAGCCUCUUAAAGAAUAUAUUGCGGCAUUCUCACGUUUUCUUCCGCAUGAACAUGAAAAAUAUUUGAUCCCAGAGACAGAAGAAAUUCUAAAACUUCAUCAUAUUGUGAGUUUAUAUGAAACCAUUGAAGAUAACCUGUCUGAUUCUGCAAAAGGCUAUCUUAAUAGUGAAUUCAAGAUACACUUAAAUGAACAUUCAAAAAAACUACUUGAAGAUAUGGCAUCAAAUGAAGAUGUUGUGUUCAUUAAAAACAAGCUGAAAGUAUUGAAAAAGUAUGCUUACCGAUACUACAGAUCUCAAGGAUGUACAUAUAAAAAUAUUAAAUUAGAUAAAAGCCUUCAAAACGCAAUUGAACCUUUGGAAAAACAUGUCUUCAUUGGAUCCCAAAGCAACACCGGUGAAAAUAAAGUUGUUUUCAAGAUUCCUGAAGACAUUAAUAUUGAACAUAUGUACGACGUCAUAACCCUGCUGGAGCGAAUAUUAAAGGACAAAGAGUAUGUCAUUAUUCCCGUGAUGACACAGAGAAAAAAAUUCCGCAAAUUUUGAAAAUUAACCAAAUAUUAUGAAAUGCCACCCAUUCAUUGUGUGCAUACAGUACAUCAAUAGUAUAAAUUACAAAUUAAUUAAUGCAGCACAAUGUAAUACAUGUGAUGCAUAAGGUGCAUCCUGAUGCCUUUUUUAAGUUCAAACUUAUUAUCCCACUUUUACAUUAUAUUUACAUGUACUGAAUCAAAGCACAUCACCCCACCUCCACAGGACUGCGGAUAAACAUGCACAUUUUAUGUACAGAUUGAAAUAUAUGCAAUGACAUUUUCAUGCUAAAGUAUUUUUUACCUAAAUUAUUUAAUAAGCAGUAAAUAUAAACAAACUACGGUUGAAUAUAAAUAUAUUAGGUACAUUACUUUUUAUAUUCUUAGUUCUUUCGGUAAAGUCACGUUAUUUUGUUGUUUCCCUUCAACGUGACUUUACCGAAAGAACUAAGAAUAUGAAUUACUGCAGUCACGAAAGCUUUAAAUCAAAAUUUACAUUACUUUUUCUUUAAAAUAACAUAUUAGACACAGCAUUAUAUCAUUAGUUAUAUUCUACAUAUUAUCUGACACCUUGAUAUAGCAUAUAUUAGAAAUAUUCAUAUCAUAGUAUACAUUACUUCUCAGAAUAAAGGUUAUUUGAGAGAUGUUUUAUUGAUUUUGUUAGACAGGUUAUGUUAUGUUAAAACAUAAUUUUUUGUAUUACUAUAAUAAUAAAAAAUAUAUAUGUGGUUGAUUUACUGGGGCUUAACAAUCGGAAUCUAAUACAAUGUUUGUGGUUGAUAACUGAAAUAAAUGUGUUCUUAUUGGUGUAUACUUAGAAUUGCUUGUGUUUAAUGUCUGGCGUAAUAAAAUAUACAUUUUAACAA